rnacentral:rRNA from 1 species
UCCUACGGGGCGCAGCAGUGAGGAAUAUUGGUCAAUGGGCGGGAGCCUGAACCAGCCAAGUCGCGUGAGGGAAGACGGUCCUAUGGAUUGUAAACCUCUUUAGGCGGGGAGCAAUGCCGGGCACGUGUGCCCGGAGGGAGAGUACCCGCAGAAUAAGCAUCGGCUAACUACGUGCCAGCAGCCGCGGUAAUACGUAGGUGGCGAGCGUUAUCCGGAAUGAUUGGGCGUAAAGGGUGCGCAGGCGGUCCUGCAAGUCUGGAGUGAAACGCAUGAGCUCAACUCAUGCAUGGCUUUGGAAACUGGAG